UACAGAGGGGGCAAGCGUUGUUCGGAAUUACUGGGCGUAAAGGGCGCGUAGGCGGCCUGCUAAGUCGAACGUGAAAUCCCCGGGCUCAACCCGGGAACUGCGUCCGAUACUGGCAGGCUUGAAUCCGGGAGAGGGAUGUGGAAUUCCAGGUGUAGCGGUGAAAUGCGUAGAUAUCUGGAGGAACACCGGUGGCGAAGGCGGCUCUCUGGGACGGUACUGACGCUGAGACGCGAAAGCGUGGGGAGCGAACAGG
rnacentral:rRNA from 1 species